rnacentral:tRNA from 1 species
AAGUUAAUGCCUGAGUGGUUAAAGGAAUGGACUGAAAAUCCAUUGAUAAUAUAUCUACCUCAGACCAAAUCUGAUUUAACUUA